rnacentral:rRNA from 1 species
AACGAACGCUGGCGGCAUGCCUAACACAUGCAAGUCGAACGGAUCCUUCGGGAUUAGUGGCGGACGGGUGAGUAACACGUGGGAACGUGCCCUUUGGUUCGGAACAACUCAGGGAAACUUGAGCUAAUACCGGAUGUGCCCUUCGGGGGAAAGAUUUAUCGCCAUUGGAGCGGCCCGCGUCUGAUUAGCUAGUUGGUGAGGUAAAGGCUCACCAAGGCGACGAUCAGUAGCUGGUCUGAGAGGAUGAUCAGCCACAUUGGGACUGAGACACGGCCCAAACUCCUACGGGAGGCAGCAGUGGGGAAUCUUGCGCAAUGGGCGAAAGCCUGACGCAGCCAUGCUGCGUGAAUGAUGAAGGCCUUAGGAUUGUAAAAUUCUUUCACCGGGGACGAUAAUGACGGUACCCGGAGAAGAAGCCCCGGCUAACUUCGUGCCAGCCGCCGCCGUAACAC